UACAGAGGGGGCAAGCGUUGUUCGGAUUUACUGGGCGUAAAGGGCGCGUAGGCGGCAGAUUAAGUCAGCUGUGAAAUCUCCGAGCUUAACUCGGAACUGUCAGCUGAUACUGUUUUGCUAGAGUGCGGAAGGGGCAAUCGGAAUUCUUGGUGUAGCGGUGAAAUGCGUAGAUAUCAAGAGGAACACCUGAGGUGAAGACGGGUUGCUGGGCCGACACUGACGCUGAGUGCGCGAAAGCCAGGGGAGCAAACGGG
rnacentral:rRNA from 1 species